rnacentral:rRNA from 1 species
UACGGGGGGGGCAAGCGUUGUUCGGAAUUACUGGGCGUAAGGGGCUCGUAGGCGGCCAACUAAGUCAGACGUGAAAUCCCUCGGCUUAACCGGGGAACUGCGUCUGAUACUGGAUGGCUUGAGUUCGGGAGAGGGAUGCGGAAUUCCAGGUGUAGCGGUGAAAUGCGUAGAUAUCUGGAGGAACACCGGUGGCGAAGGCGGCAUCCUGGACCGACACUGACGCUGAGGAGCGAAAGCCAGGGGAGCAAACAGG